rnacentral:rRNA from 1 species
GACAGAGGGUGCAAACGUUGUUCGGAAUUACUGGGCGUAAAGCGUGUGUAGGCGGCCAUAUAAGUCGGAUGUGAAAGCCCUGGGCUCAACCCAGGAAGUGCACUCGAUACUGUGUGGCUCGAGUACUGGAGAGGUUGGUGGAAUUCUCGGUGUAGAGGUGAAAUUCGUAGAUAUUGGGAAGAACACCGGUGGCGAAGGCGGCUCUCUGGACCGAGACUGACGCUGAGGCGCGAAAGCGUGGGGAGCAAACAGG